GAUGAAGAACGCAGCGAAGUGCGAUAAGUAAUGUGAAUUGCAGAAUCCAGUGAAUCAUCGAAUCUUUGAACGCACAUUGCGCCCUCUGGUAUUCCGGGGGGCAUGCCUGUUCGAGCGUCAUUAUAACCACUCAAGCUCUCGCUUGGUAUUGGAGUUCGCGAUCUCGCGGCUCCUAAAAUCAGUGGCGGUGCCUGUCGGCUCUACGCGUAGUAAUACUCCUCGCGAUUGAGUCCGGUAGGUUUACUUGCCAGCAACCCCCAAUUUUUACAGGUUGACCUCGGAUCAGGUAGGGAUACCCGCUGAACUUAAGCAUAUCAAUAAGCGGAGGA
rnacentral:misc_RNA from 1 species